GGUGACUCAAAAACUUGGGGAGGAAAUCCACCUCGUGUGUAUCAGACUGCCCUCUGCUGCAGACCAUCCUGACCUGCCAGAAAGUUUCAACUUUCUGUCACCGUUUUGGCGUAGGGGGGAGGGGUUUGAGGGAGGGGCUAGGAGUGCGUUCACGCGCUUCAAGAAGAGACUUCCAGAACUCACCAUCUAGUCUGCUCAGAAGCCUGACAUGACUGCAGUUUGAGGCAAUAGUCUCUCCAAGUUCAAUUGGAACUUCCAAAUCGAAAGAGUUUGAGGCCAAUAUAGUCCUGCUGCCCAAGGCCUUAUAAACUAGCGCAAAAUAUUCAGCAGCAGCAUCACACCCCAGCACUGAGAAAUUCAGAACUCCGAGCAGCAGCAUCAACAAGCACAAACCCUGAGCAUUUCAUCAGGUCAGGGGAGGUGUUGCUGAAGUGGAGAGAGAUGGCAGACUCAUGACUCCAACAGAUAACGGCACCUUUGAUUGGGAGGCAGUUCAUGGAGAGGAUGAUGAGAAGGCUUCAGGAAGUUCUCUAACAUCAGCCUGUGGAUUUUGAUUAUUUACACUAUGUUUUAAGUCGUGAAAAGGAACUUGUUUGCUCUUUUGCUGAUGUUGUACAACUGCCAAGUGAUGUUGCUUGUGAUCUGAUGUUUUGAGAUUACUUCGUUUACAAGAGGAGGAGAGACCUCCAGCCUCUUCUUAUGUAGUGAAACAGAGGAUGCCACACAUCAGAUACAGGAUGAUGAAGGGUGAAUUGCAAGCCUUGGGACAGUGUGUCAGAUCGGAGCAGGUGUCAGCAUCAAUGCAUCAGGUGGAUUCUGCGGGGAUCUUAGAGAGAAUGGGACGUUUGGGCUUUGUGGCAAGACAAAUUUAUUCCAUCAAGGGUCCUCAGAAUGGGUUGAGCACUUGUGGCGUGACGUGUGGAUGGCUGUAACAAGUGUGUAUUAUGAGCUUCUUCAUGGCCUUGAAGAGGACUGCCUGCUUGAUCCCUCCAACAGUCUGCACUUAUUCUGUGCUCAGUACAUAUUUGUACCACGCCUCCAGAUGGACCGUGACACUUUCACUAGUGGGUAGAAUAACCAUCUCCUGUGAACUGAACAAAACCUGACUCCCAAUCAACUGACCGUAGGA